rnacentral:rRNA from 1 species
UACGUAGGGGGCAAGCGUUGUCCGGAUUUAUUGGGCGUAAAGAGCGUGUAGGCGGCCUGACAGGUCUGCUGUGAAAACUCGAGGCUCAACCUCGAGAUGUCGGCGGAAACCGUCUGGCUAGAGUCCGGAAGAGGAGAGUGGAAUUCCUGGUGUAGCGGUGAAAUGCGCAGAUAUCAGGAGGAAUACCAGCGGCGAAGGCGGCGCUCUGGGCCGGUACUGACGCUGAGGAGCGAAAGCAUGGGGAGCGAACAGG